rnacentral:rRNA from 1 species
UACGUAGGGGCCUAGCGUUGUCCGGAAUUAUUGGGCGUAAAGAGCUCGUAGGCGGUGUGUCACGUCGGCCGUGAAAACCUGCAGCUUAACUGUGGGCGUGCGGUCGAUACGGGCAUCACUGGAGUUCGGCAGGGGAGACUGGAAUUCCUGGUGUAGCGGUGAAAUGCGCAGAUAUCAGGAGGAACACCGGUGGCGAAGGCGGGUCUCUGGGCCGAUACUGACACUAAGGAACGAAAGCGUGGGGAGCAAACAGG